rnacentral:rRNA from 1 species
AUUGAACGCUGGCGGCAGGCCUAACACAUGCGAGUCGAACGGAAGAACGGAGCUUUCUCCUGGUUUUCGAGGGGCGAACGGGUGAGUAACACAUGAGUAUGCCUCCUAGUGGGGGGGAACGUCCGGAGAAAGCCGGUAAUACCGCCUACGAGGUGUGCGAGAAAGAGGGGGGGCUUUGGACCGCUCGCUCUCUGAGGAUCGUAGGGGGGGUUUGCUAGUUGGUGGGGGAAAGGGCUACCAAGGAGGCGAUCGGUAACUGGUCUGAGAGAGUGAUCAGUCACACUGGAACUGAGCCACGGCCCAGACUCCUACGGGAGGCAGCAGUGGGGAAUUUUGGACAAUGGGCGAAAGCCUGAUCCAGCCAUGCCGCGUGUGUGAAGAAGGCCUUCGGAUUGUAAAGCACUUUUAGUUGGGAAGAAGGGCAUUAACCUAAUACCGUGCGGUGUUGACGGUACCGGCAGAAUAAGCACCGGCUAACUACGUG